AUGAGCUCCGAGGGCUCAGAUGCAGCCGACUGGACGAGUUCUGUUAUAAAGCCUAACAAACUCAUGGGGCAGAGUAUUAUUGCAUAACUGGUAUAAUCCAAAUUCCCUCCUCUUCUGAAUCCUCUCGUCUCUCUUUCUAUCCUCUAACCUAGCUCUCUUCUCUUCUAUUCUACAGAUUACAAGCUCGUCCAUGGAGUCGAGUAGAUAGCUUUUCAUAUUUCAGUUUUCCUUUAGUUUCCAUAAGUUGUAAUCAUCAUUCAAUAUCAGUCAAUAUAAUAUCAGAAAAUUGUCCCAAAAAUAUUGCGAUUACUUCUUUUUAACUUUUGAGAAUUGAGAUCAUAACAAUUGGUAUCAGAGACAGGUUACUGUCUCGACUGUGGGUGGUAAUUCGAAGAAGAUAUUUGCGGAAUCUACUAUGGCUGAAUUGGUUGAAUGAAAUAAUGCAAAUAGAAGGGCCUUUAUGGAUGGAAUGUCAAGAAUAGUUGUGAAUGUUAAACAAUUGCAGAGGUGGUGUGAGGAUUGCAUAUGUAGUGUUGAUUGUCAGUGCAACUCUUGUGUAUACAGUUGCAUACGCAGUGUUGACUGCCAAUGCCACUUUUGUUUUGAUGAUUGUUCGAGGAAAAAGAAUGAAGGAGACAACCACACCGAGGUGGAUUUAGAUGAACUUGCAAUGGACAAACUGCUGAAGGUUGAAAAUGGCAGUAAGAUUGAUUCAAAAUACAAUGAGGACAAAGUGUUUGACGAAUGUCCUCAAAGGGUUAAAUCUGAAGUUCUACUUGAGCUUCACUCAAUCCAAAAUACAAACACCACGAAGAUCGAUAUCGUGAACUAACAUUUGGGCUCACAACCUUAUGUUCUUGCCGUUGAGGAUACAAUACCUAAAUUGAUGGGUCCCAACGAUUUGUUCGGUGCUUAUAAUUUCAUGACCCACCUUGAGUGUACACCUUGGUCAAUUUCAAUUGAGGUACUGAGUUUUCUAUUUAAAUACAUGGGUCAUAAGCUUGACAUGGAUCUUGGUGACAGACUAUUCAAUAUAAAAUGGGAGAGUGAUAUUACUAACAUGUUUUACUUGCAUAGAUCUUUGAUAAUAUCAAUCGGGUGUGGGAUACGGGAUGGCAGCUGUUUAUGCAUUUCCUUGUUGUGCAUAUUGGUUCUGUUUGUUCAUUUUCUGCCAUUCAAUAUAUAACUAUGAUUAUAGCGGUAUAGGAGGCCUAUCCUUACACGUAGCAACAUCAUCCAGAAAGGAGAUUAUGUUCUUUUGGGGCUUAAUUUUGCAAUUAACCUUGCUUGAUGACUCUAAAAAGUUAACAACAAUUGAUUUGUUUGAACACAAUUUGUCAGUUGAAAGGUAUACAAUCUGAAAAGCUUCUCAAAGAAGGGAUUCAGUCAUCGCUCGAAGCUUAUGUCAUUCUUGGUUAUUUGAUUUUAUCCUUCUUGUUGCAAUGUACUCGUGUGCUCAUAACUUCUGGCGUAGAUUUUAAGAUGGCAAAGGUACAUGGUUACAGACUACUCGAAGAGAAUUACUGGUGAAUUGGUCAACCAAAACUGAAGUUAAGUUAGGGACAUUCGAAACCGGGAAGGGAACUAAGGGCUCAAUACAAUGUGAAAGAAAGCCUUACUUUCUAAAAUUGGAAUACUUGUUAGCUUCUUGUCUUGCAGCAUUUUUGCCUUUGGAUGAUGACAUUGUACUUCUUCAGACAAGUUCUCAGGAUGCAUUGCUUAGUCGUGGCUUACACAAAAUGGAAUACAAUGGAAGUCAUUUGAGCAGGAUGUGGCUCUCGACUGACUUGGUAUUCCGAAAGAAAUGAAGGAUCCUCUAAAUAUUGUGUUUAAUAAUUUGUUUGUAGAUACUCGUGGAGCUACAAGGUUACAUCAUUCGAGUUAUGACUUGGAUUUAUCUUCUAAUAGAGAAGGAUGGGAGAACAUAAUGCUAACAAGUUUCUUAGCGCUUGAUACUUGGGUUGUGAUUGAACCAGAAGAUGGUAAUGAUCUGACAAGGGAUUUCCUUGCUGUAUUGGACAAAAAAUCUAUUAUUCUUUAUAUGGAAGGAGGUCAUGUUCGAUUUGUGAGUAAUAAUGGGUCCUUAAAGUUCCCAUAUGACCCUGGGGUUGGCUUGCCUUUGAGAGACUCUAAUUUCUUCUCUGGUAAUAAUUUUGAUCCUCCAAAAAUUUUUGCAUCUUCAUUGAGCUUUUAUAAAGUGCUCGAACAACCUACUUCAGAGGAUAGUCAUCUGCAGAAGGCAGCUCUCAGGUUACAUGUUACUGGCUAUACGGUCCCUCAAGAGAAGAUGAUACGCAUGAAGAAAGCUACUUAUGGUUCUCAAAUAGUAGUCAUAGAUGAUAGAAUUAUAGCCUUUUUACGUCUUCUCUAUGUGACUUCCGUGUCUAUUCUUGAGGAUUACAAGUUUCCAUUUGAUCCAGGAGGCAUUGGUAUUUCAUUUGGUGGUCCUUCACAUCAAUUCCCAUUGGAUCCUGGUUGUUUACUCUUCAGGAUAACACCCUUGAGAACUUGGUGUUCUUCAACAAGUGGGGCGUUCUAAAUUCCAGAUUUUUAGCUCAUCCUUGAAGGUAAGGAUUAUUUGAAAAGGAAGGGUAUGUAAUGACCCGAGAAAUGGCAAUAAAAUGAAUGCAACCACUCGAGUUCGAAACUAGAAAGACAAUGAGGGAAAUAACCAACGCUAAAAUCAACGGCCACGAUGAGAAUUCAAUUAAUGAGCUCCGAGGGCUUAGAUGCAGCCAGCUGGACGAGUUCUGUUAUAAAGCCUAACAAACUCAUGGGGCAGAGUAUUAUAGCAUAACUGGUAUAAUCCAAAUUUCCUCCUCUUCUGAAUCCUCUCGUCUCUCUUUCUAUCCUCUAACCUAGCUCUCUUCUCUUCUAUUCUACAGAUUACAAGCUCGUCCAUGGAGUCGAGUAGAUAGCUUUUCAUAUUUCAGUUAUCCUUUAGUUUCCAUUAGUUGUAAUCAUCAUUCAAUAUCAGUCAAUAUAAUAUUAGAAAAUUGUCCCAAAA
rnacentral:lncRNA from 1 species